GCCAGGUGUGGUGGCGUGUGCCUGUAGUCCUAGUUACUCGUGAGGCUGAAGCAGGAGGAUCGUUUGAGCCCAGGAGGUCAAGGCUGCAGUGAGCUAUGAUAGCACCACUGCACUCUAGCCUGGGCAACAGAGUGAGACCCUAUUUCCA
ensembl:misc_RNA Metazoa_SRP Metazoan signal recognition particle RNA